rnacentral:tRNA from 1 species
GCGUCGGUGGUUCAGUGGCAGAAUACUCGCCUGCCACGCGGGUGACCCUGGUUCGAUUCCCGGCCGACGCA